rnacentral:rRNA from 1 species
GACGAACGCUGGCGGCGUGCCUAAUACAUGCAAGUCGAGCGCAGGAAACUGACGGAACUCUUCGGAGGGAAGGCAGUGGAAUGAGCGGCGGACGGGUGAGUAACACGUAAGGAACCUGCCUCAAGGAUUGGGAUAACUCCGAGAAAUCGGAGCUAAUACCGGAUAGUUCAACGGACCGCAUGGUCCGCUGAUGAAAGGCGCUUCGGCGUCACCUUGAGAUGGACUUGCGGUGCAUUAGCUAGUUGGUGGGGUAACGGCCCACCAAGGCGACGAUGCAUAGCCGACCUGAGAGGGUGAUCGGCCACACUGGGACUGAGACACGGCCCAGACUCCUACGGGAGGCAGCAGUAGGGAAUCUUCCACAAUGGACGAAAGUCUGAUGGAGCAACGCCGCGUGAGUGAUGAAGGUUUUCGGAUCGUAAAACUCUGUUGUAAGGGAAGAACACGUACGAGAGGAAAUGCUCGUACCUUGACGGUACCUUACGAGAAAGCCACGGCUAACUACGUGCCAGCCGCCGCAGUAA